rnacentral:rRNA from 1 species
CAAAGGAAUUGACGGGACCGCGACAAGCGGUGGAUGAUGUGGUUAAUUCGAUGCAACGCGAAAACCUUACCACCUUUGACAUGUACGGAACUCGCCAGAGAUGGCUUGGUGCUCGAAAGAGAACCGUAACACAGGUGCUGCAUGGCUGUCGUCAGCUCGUGUCGUGAGAUGUUGGGUUAAGUCCCGCAACGAGCGCAACCCUUGUCAUUAGUUGCUACAUUUAGUUGGGCACUCUAAUGAGACUGCCGGUGACAAGCCGGAGGAAGGUGGGGAUGACGUCAAGUCCUCAUGGCCCUUAUAGGUGGGGCUACACACGUCAUACAAUGGCUGGUACAGAGGUUGCCAACCCGCGAGGGGGAGCUAAUCCCAUAAAACCAGUCGUAGUCCGGAUCGCAGUCUGCAACUCGACUGCGUGAAGUCGGAAUCGCUAGUAAUCGCGGAUCAGAAUGUCGCGGUGAAUACGUUCCCGGGUCUU